GACAGAGGGUGCAAACGUUGCUCGGAAUUACUGGGCGUAAAGCGCGUGUAGGCGGGCCGAUAAGUCAGAUGUGAAAUCCCUGAGCUCAACUCAGGAACUGCAUUUGAAACUGCCGGUCUAGAGUGGUGGAGAGGGAAGCGGAAUUCCUGGUGUAGAGGUGAAAUUCGUAGAUAUCAGGAGGAACACCGGUGGCGAAGGCGGCUCUCUGGACAGGUACUGACGCUGAGACGCGAAAGCGUGGGUAGCAAACAGG
rnacentral:rRNA from 1 species